CUCAAACUUCCACUGGCUUCAAUACCAGUAGUCCCUCUAAGAAGUCAGCGACCGUUCGUGAACGGCCUGACUAGUUAGCAGGUUAAGGUCUCGUUCGUUAA
rnacentral:rRNA from 1 species